GUCUUAUUGACAAAAAUAAGACAUCAAGCUUUCUCGUUUUUUUGUUUAUGUUUAUUUUAAUUUCAAGAUUUAUCUGCGUGUUCCCAGAAAUACAAGUUGAUAAAGUGUAAUAAGGGGAAUCCCAAAAAUAGAGAUUUCCACUAUCGCUGUUGUAUUCAGGGACUCAAGUUAAAAUAACGCGUUGAAGCAGCAUUUCACUUGAAGAAAAAAUUAUUGAUUAUUAACAAAGUUAAUUAAGAGACGACAAAAAAAGAUACUGCUUAUAAGUUUAAAAUUCUUCCUACCACAUUUUCAAAUACUUUAAAAUUAAAGAAGUGAUUUUAAAAGAUGCAGAUGAUGAGACAGUAAGCAUCAAACGCAAACGAUUUCGAAUUUGCUAGUUUGAUGAUAUUGAUGAAGCAGUACUAAAAUGGAUAGCCGUUGCACGUGAUAAAAAUAUUCCUUUAUCUGGAUUAUUAUUGAUGCAAACGGCCAGAGAUUUUCCUGAAGCACUAAGACACCAUGAAUUUGAGGCAAGAACAGGUUGGUUAGACAAGUUCAACAUGACAUGGUAUUGUUAUGUAGGAAAAGUUCUAACAAAAUCGUGAAGAAUGAAUAAGAAAUGUUUUACCAAAAUUGAUUGAAAAUUACAACGCAAACAGCAUCUCUAAUGCCGAUGAGACUAUUUUGUUUUUCAAAUGCUUGCAAACAAAACACUGACAUUCAAAAAUGAAUGCUUUGGUGGGAAACAAAGCAAGGAAAGAAUCAUUGUCCUGAUAGAAAUCAAUAUGACCGGAUCUGAAACGCUUAAAUUGCUUGUAGUCGUAAGGCCAAGAUUUCGAGGUGCUUUACGUCAAUAAAAUCUUUUGAUGUCGAUUAUGAAUUUAACAAAAAAGCAUGGAUUGUGAGAUUUUCACGAGGUUGUAGUUAUAUUCUAAACCUCGAAAAAAAAAGUUUGAUCAAAACAGGAAGGUAUUCCUUUUUGUGGAUAACUGCACUGGUUAUUUUCCUCUCAACAUGACUUCAUUACUGCAACCAAUGGACCAAGGCAUUAUCUAUAACAUGAAACAACAUUACAGAAAAUGAAUUUUAUUGAAUAUAUUGGCUUAACUGGAACUUAUUCAAAAUUUAAGCACUGUAUGGAAUAUCUAUGUGAAACCAGGAACAACUGCCAACUGUUUUACAAAGGCAGGAUUUUCAAAAGAUACCAUGCAGAAUCCAUCUGAGCAUUGAGAUGAAGAGAAUACUUGGUGAUUUGGCAGAUACUGAUGAGGGAUUACCUACAUGAGGACAAGUUUCUUCAUUCAUUAACUUAAUCGGAAUCUUUGCGGAGAUGAGGAGUAACAGAUAAAUGUUUUCUACUCUCUAAAUGAUUUAGAACAUUUUGUUAAAAAUGAAAAUUGGUAGAGUGUAAUUCAAACCAAACUUACUGAUUAUUAAAUAUAAUCAAAAAUAAAA